UAUUUAACUUUGAAAAAGAGGAGUAGACAUUUAACUUUUUAGGAAGAAAAUCCUUGGCUGAAAGAUUUUUAAAGCUCUAAAUGUUGAAAGUAGCUUUUGAGUUUUUAGACUGAAAAAUUUUAAGUUUAAAGGGUUAUGACCUUAUAAUAGCAUAAGAGUCGGGAGGAAUCCUGAAACUAAGGUGGCACCGCGGAAAUUACCCUUCGUCCUUAUU
rnacentral:ncRNA from 1 species